ACCCAGAUGAUAAGUCCCAAAUGGGACGAAAUGACCAUCCUGGAU
rnacentral:hammerhead_ribozyme from 1 species